CAAUAGCGUAUAUUAAAGUUGUUGCAGUUAAAAAGCUCGUAGUUGGAUUUCGGGGCAGCCUGGCUGGUCCGCCGCAAGGCGAGUACUGGUCAGCCGCCCUUCCUCUCGAAAGCCCCGACUGCUCUUUAUUGCAGUGGUCGGGUAGUUCGGGACGUUUACUUUGAAAAAAUUAGAGUGUUCAAGGCAGGCCUACGCCUGAAUACAUUAGCAUGGAAUAAUGGAAGAGGACCUCGGUCCUAUUUUGUUGGUUUCCAGGACCGAAGUAAUGAUUAAGAGGGACAGUUGGGGGCAUUCGUAUUUAAUUGUCAGAGGUGAAAUUCUCGGAUUUAUGAAAGACGAACAACUGCGAAAGCAUUUGCCAAGGACGUUUUCAUUAA
rnacentral:rRNA from 1 species